AACACAUGCUUCUAUCUUGUGCUUAAUGACUAAGCAGUAGCAUCUGAACAUCUGCGGUGAUCGCAUGGUGUUCACUUUUGCUUUUAUUCACAUAGGGUACGGAAGAAUCGAUGAAGGUCGCAAGGCAGUACAUCUCAACAGAUAGCUGGUAAGUAAGCGUUUUGUGUCAACGAUCGUAACUAUCUCCGAAUGUAGGUCCUGGUUUAAAUCGAAGGUGGUAUGUAACAGAGGCUCGCUUUUUUUCUGCCACACAUUGCUGCGCAUUGAUAGAUUCACCCUGCGGGCGGUACAGAUACUUCUGCUGGAUGUAACUUGCACGAGAAAAGCUUUUUUUUUUGGUUACUCAAUUGUGUUAAGUUUAACGUAACACUUAUGUCGUGAUAAAAUAACAACACAUUAAAUAAAUGUAACCGGUUUGUGUUAACGACAUAGUGAUAUCUGAAACGGCACGAUUUGCUGGUAUUAAUUCGUUGCGGUCCGGCGAAAAUCCAGAGCAAGAAGAAAAAAUGGCGGCUGCACCGAAAAGCACGCGAGUUUUGGCGGCGCCGGCCACCAUGCUCAUUGAGUUUAUUGAGCAGCACCCAUACUUAUCUAGAGGUGCCACAAGCCUCUCGCCAAGUAUGAGUGCUGCUCGGAAAAAAGCAAUCUGCGAGGAAAUCGCUGCGGUGCUCAACGCGAUAGGUCCAGCAGUCAAAACAGCCCGGUGCUGGCGCCUGUAUUGGGCGCGCCUGUGUUAUGACUGCCGGAGGAUCGCGGCGCAGGUAGGCACCGAGAAGAGCAGGACAGAUCCAGUGACGAAGAGCGUCCUCCCGCUGAUCCCGUGCGCCCUGCCCCACCAGCAGAUGCCAACGUGUCGAUUGGCACCGAGCCGGGCACAAGUGGCACUGCACCUAAUGCACUUCAGCAACUAUUGCAAUACGAACACAUCACUCAAGGCAACAAAGCAAUGUCUGUUAAGAUGUCUUGAACAGAUAUGAUGUAUUUCUAUUAUUUACUUGGCAAACAAAAGUGCCUGCCUAAAUGUCACUGAAAAAUGGAACAAUAUUCUGUUCGACAAUUAACACCAUUUGUAACGCAGCUUCUGCAACGUACAAGCUGAAAUUACUAUCAGUGUAGCAUUUUAUGAUGCUGUAGUGCCUUUUUGUUUAUGCAAAUUUACUGUUCCUUUUGUGAACGAUUUGCUGCUGGAAUUACUUUUCUGGGGUUCCACCUGAUAAUGAACCAGUAAAAUGUCACGCAGGACUAAGCAAAACUUUUUAUACUGUGUACUGAUUUUAUUUCUAAGGACCAUCGACUCGGCAGCAGCCCCGCAGGCCACCUCGGCAACAGCCACUGGAAGAUGCGGCCUGCAGGGCAGCCGAUGAGUAUGCGUGGCAGGGAAAGCUGGCUGAGGCUGCUAACUUGGAGGCCGCCAACUUCCACCAGCUGCUGCUGCAGCAAAAUA